GACGAACGCUGGCGGCGUGCUUAACACAUGCAAGUCGAACGGAAAGGCCCUGCUUGCAGGGUACUCGAGUGGCGAACGGGUGAGUAACUCGCGCGUGAUUUGCCCUGCUCUUCGGGUUAAGCCUCGUCGACUGAGCCUAAUACCGACUAGAUGCCAUUUUGAGUGUGAUGGUUGGAAAGUUUUUUCGGUGAUGGCUGAGCUCGCGGCCUAUCAGCUUGUUGCUGGGGUAAUGGACUACCAAGGCGGCUACGGGUAGCCGGCCUGAGUGGCUGGCCGGCCACAUUGAGACUGACGGGCGGCACAGACAGCUAAGGGAGGCAGCAGUGGGGAAGAUUGCACAAGGGGCGCAGGCCUGAUGCAGAGGCGCCGCGGAGGGGAUGACGGCCUUCGGGUUGUAAACUCCUUGCGCUAGGGACGAAGCUUUUUGUGACGGUACCUAGAGAAGAAGCACCGGCUAACUACGUG
rnacentral:rRNA from 1 species